GGAGGGGUGCCGGAGUGGCCGAUCGGAACCGCCUUGAAAGCGGUCGCUGGCAGAGAUGUCAGCCGCGGGUUCGAAUCCCGCCCCCUCUGCCA
rnacentral:tRNA from 7 species